rnacentral:rRNA from 1 species
AUUGAACGCUGGCGGCAGGCCUAACACAUGCAAGUCGAGCGGAGCGGCGGACGGGUGAGUAAUGCCUAGGAAUCUGCCUGGUAGUGGGGGAUAACGUCCGGAAACGGGCGCUAAUACCGCAUACUAUCAGAUGAGCCUAGGUCGGAUUAGCUAGUUGGUGGGGUAAAGGCCUACCAAGGCGACGAUCCGUAACUGGUCUGAGAGGAUGAUCAGUCACCCUUGAACUGAGACACGGUCCAGUAUCCUACAGGAUGCAGCAGUGGGGAAUAUUGGUCAAUGGCCGAAAGCCUUAUCCAGCCCUGCCGCGUCUUUGAAGAUGGUCUGCAAAUUGUAGAGUGCUUUAAGUAGGAAGACGUUACCAACAUAAUAAGCACCAGCUAACUUCAUGCCAGACGCCGCGGUAAUAC